ensembl:lncRNA
GGGAUCUGAACCGGCGAACCCCGGGCCACCGAGAAGCAGAACGUGCGAAUUUACCUGCUGUGCCACCAGGCUGCCCCUGGAAGUUUGUACCUUUUGACCACCUUCAUCCAGUUCCCUCUCCCCCACCCCACUGCCUCUGGAUCAUGCUGCCUGGGAAAUGCAAGGAGGAGAUAGUCACAAGCAAGGACCCUCUCUUCCCCUCGGACUGACUCUGGAAGUCUAUGAGGAGCUACUGGAUUCUGCUAUCAUUUGGACACUGCCCUAUAAACUGUUCCUGACUGAUCGACAAAGAGCUCCUUGCUUUGUGGAUGGCAGUUCCAAGGUGAAUGGACAACAUCGUGUUUAGAAAGCCACCACUCUGAUGGAAGAAGGUAAAAACAAAUCAGCCUGGUGUGCUGAAUUGCAUGUUUUCCCAGCAGUAAUGGAAGAACUGAACAGUGGUGAAAGCCCCUGUGUUUGGGUUUUUGUUGACUUGUGGGCUGUGGCCAAUGGCCUGACCAUAUGGUCAGGCAGGAAGACAAUGGAAACCUAACCUAUUAAAGGGAUGCCCAUAUGGGACAUAGCCCUGUGGAAAUUUGAGGGGUGCAUUAAAGUAGGACGUGUCGAUGCCCAUCAGUAGAACUCCCUUCCAGGUAACUGGAAUCGAGAAGCAGAUGUACCCACGUGCUCCCUUGAGAUGGCCACCUGGGUCUAUGAAAUGAAUGGAUAUGGGGACACUGCAGCAAUGCACAGGUGGGAUGAAUCUAAACCUAUCCCGCUUGCACCUCUGAGGCACAAAAUGCCAAUAAGAACUGUUCUGUCUGACAAGGAGAGAGACAGAGCCUGCAGAUGAUUAUGUGGCAGAUUCCCUGGUGGGAAGGCCCUGAAUGUAGCUGGUAAAUGCUCAGAGUAUUAUGAAAGAACUAGAACAAAAGCUAUUCCACCAAUUUGGAUAGCCAACUGUCAUUUCUUCACACUGUCGACACAGAUAAUCCAUAAUCAAUCUAUAAAUCAAAAUUGGGGAGCCAGAUCUGAAGACUAUCCUGGGUCUGUCCUUCUCCAAGGAAGGAAGAGCACCAAAGAAGUGGGGUGUACAGAGUGGUUAUAUACUGUCUUGGAACAAAGAGCAUACAUCACAUAUGACAGGAAUGUCCCUUUUACCAUUGUCAUGAGAUGCUUAGCUGGCACAGCAGAUCAGUGGUCAGCAGGUCAGUACAUCAGGUCAGUAAUUAAUCCUUAGUUUCUAGGAAGAGAUUUUCAUCCUUAAAGAAAUGCCAAUAUGGAGGGAAGCUACAUCCCUAUCUUUAGAGGGGCAUCAUUCUUGUCUUUGGGACAUUGUAAAUUGUAAAUGUUUAAAGCAGAUAUACAAUGCAUGCUCAACAGGCCACAUCAGGCCCUUUUGGAAAAACAAAGUCAGGUCAAAUUAGUUUUACACCAAAUGGCUUCCUCAUAUACUCCAAUAUGUACUAUUGCUUUUCAUUUAUUUAUCAACACCAAGGAACAAACACACUUUACAGCCCACAAUGUCCAACAAUGGGCAGAGCGAUAUCCUUCUUAGACUAAUAGUUCAAUAGAGUUAGAAUGGGCAAUUAAAACACUGGUUGUUUAAAAUGGGGAAAUAAAGGUAUGAAGGACUGGCUUACACACCUUCAGGAGUGUGUGCUCACACUUAACGUGAACAUGAGUGGGGCUAAAAGGAAUGUCCCUACUGGAUAGAUUUCUGUUUUCCUGUUGGAUCUGGGGAAGAGAAGGUAGAGAAGGUGGUAUUCUUUCCUCCCCAUCUCACUUCAACUUUUUCUUUCCUCCUGCUUGAUGCACUGGUCAUAGGAUCAGGGCGGCUGCGACAAGGGCCGGAAGCAGGGAUUAUUCCUACACAAGAAAUUAUUUUUAGCGUUUAUUUCACAAUUCCUAAGGGCCUGAUCUGGCAGGAUGUGCCUUCACCCCAUCUGCCAAAUUGGGGCUAUCAGUGAAUUUACCUAUAUUGCUUGGUAGUAAAAAUAGCCCACUAGUUCUGCACCUGUGUAACCUUAUCUGAAUAGAAGUGGACUGGUAGGGAGGGAUUUGCUAGACAAGUGUUGCAGCCUGCAAUCUAGACAAGCACAGUGGCUGAACCUAACAUCCCUUCCAAAGGUGGAAAAGUUUGGGUAUAAAUGGAAAGAAGGAAAAAUAGUAGGUAUGGGUAAAGGAAUGAAUAAAUGGGUUUAGUAAUGAGGGAAAUCCAAAUAUUACAUUAACACCUUGAGACAGGCUUAAAGCAAGAGAUUGUGUAUUCGCUUGAUUACCAGCUGCCUGAAAGGCUGAAGCCACGUAUUGCUGACACCGCUGCUGUUUUUGGACAAGAUUGAAUGGAAGCCUGCAAAGCUGAGUGGCCUCACCCUAGUAGAUAUUUUCAUGAUGGACUGGAUGGUUAUCGACCGAAUAGGAUGCUAGUAAUGUGCCAGUUAUCUUUUGACCUUUAUGAUUGUUUUGCUGUGAGAUCCAUGUUUGAAGACUGGAGGGUGGACUCUGAUAUUGUGAUUUAUAUUAGGAAAUAAAUAUUUGGUCUUCCUCCCGUUUUUUUUGGUAUGAGCUCCUAAAACUCUUGGAAUUUCCUAAGUGAUGAGAGUGAUCAAGGUGUCUUUCGUUAUGUUAAUGCGGUAACUUUUGGGAACACAUCUAAGGAUGGGGGCUGGUUGCCAGAGGACACCAUGUGAUUAGAGGGUUGGAACUUUCAGUCCCACCCCACCAAACACACUUCCAGGGAGGGGAGAGGGGCUGGAGGCUAAAUCAAUCACCAAUAACCACUGACUUAAACAAUCAUACCUAUGUAAUGAAACCUCC